rnacentral:lncRNA from 1 species
UUCCGGCCCCUCUCUCUGCGCUGCGUCUCCUCCUCCUCCUCCUCCUCCUCCUCCUUCUCUUCUUCUUCUUCUUCUUCUUCUUCUGGGGAGAUCGCGGGAGGACUUUUUCGCCCGGGAUCGCCGCCCGGUGGGCAUUCCGUAGGUCGUACCCUGCGGGGGCUGUCGCCGCCGAUCGCCGUCGCCGGCCGGGGGGGCCUUCCUUUCCCGGUUGAUGGGCCGCCUGGUUCCACUUCUUCUCGGCAGCCGGUUAUGAAGGGGUUCCAAUGCUUCGCGCCCUAGCCAUCCACGAGAGGUUCUACCUCUUCCUCUUCCUCUUCUUCUUCUUCUUCCCUCUUUGGAGAUCUCCGUUUUGGCUCUCUGAUGAUGUGAUGCGGCUUGUGGGUGUCUGUCCUGGGGCCGUCGUCGGGCUCUGGUGCCGGGUGUAGAGUUGCCACCCGCCCGUGCCCUGGGAAUCGGCGGUCUUUCCUUUUCCAGCGACGAGGGUUCGAAUUGCUCGUCGCGCUCAGAAGCUUCCCCCUGUUCUUGAUUUCUCCGAUCCCUGUGAGGCCGGUGGCUCUGGUGAGGGGCGCCGAUCUGAAUCGUAGAUGUAGCGGGCAUUGCGGAGGCUGU